rnacentral:lncRNA from 1 species
ACAAACACCAGAGCUUUGAAAGUAAUACGUACUGACAAAGGGUAAAGAUUGAAGACAGACUCAUUGGAUUUGGAGUUGGAAAGAACCAUGAAAGACCUUCUGUCCAAUGAGUGCUCUGGCUGACUUAAUCAUCUCUAGUUAUGAGGCAUCCCAAUUCUUUCUAUAGUAGGUGACAGGAUUAUAAGGAUGAGUACAAACAAAUAAAAUAGGGUCCCUGCUAUGAAGGAAAGUACACACAAGACCGAAGAGUCAGAGGGGCCUUGGAUAGAAGUCAUAUUUAAGCUGAGAUGUAGUGAAUAAGUAAGUGAGAGUAGGUUGGAGAUAGGGGAGAGUUGGGAGGUACUGCAGACAAUCAGAUCAGCUUAGGUAAGGGCCUUCAGGCAGGACGAAAAGCAUCCUGCUGAGGAAGGGGUGGCGGACUACUUUUAGAGAAAUGGGCAAGGAUCAACCACAGUGUAAAGGAUCUUAAAGGCCAAAUUAAGGGCUUAGUGCGCAGA